rnacentral:rRNA from 1 species
GACGAACGCUGGCGGCGUGCCUAAUACAUGCAAGUCGAACGCACAGUUUAUACCGUAGCUUGCUACACCAUAGACUGUGAGUUGCGAACGGGUGAGUAACGCGUAGGUAACCUGCCUGGUAGCGGGGGAUAACUAUUGGAAACGAUAGCUAAUACCGCAUAAUAUUAAUUAUUGCAUGAUAAUUAAUUGAAAGGUGCAAUUGCACCACUACCAGAUGGACCUGCGUUGUAUUAGCUAGUAGGUGAGGUAACGGCUCACCCAGGCGACGAUACAUAGCCGACCUGGGAGGGUGAUCGGCCACACUGGGACUGAGACACAGCCCAGACUCCUACGGGAGGCAGCAGUAGGGAAUCUUCGGCAAUGGACGAAAGUCUGACCGAGCAACGCCGCGUGAGUGAAGAAGGUUUUCGGAUCGUAAAGCUCUGUUGUAAGAGAAGAACGGGUGUGAGAGUGGAAAGUUCACACUGUGACGGUAUCUUACCAGAAAGGGACGGCUAACUACGUG